GGAAGAGUUAUGUGGAUGACAAGGGGCCAAAAGCUCUAGACAACUUGGUAAAGCAAGAGCAAAAAACAGGAUGGGAAGCCUAGACAGAGCAGACCCAGGAUAGCAAGAGAAGAAGCCAGAAAGGCACUGAAGGAUCAACAUGGAAAUGGUCAAAAUGUAGAAGAUUCAAGUUCUUGAAGGAUUCAAGAUAUAGAAAGGGUGUGAGAUAUGGAAAGAAUUCAAGAUACGAGACGAUAUGGAAGCAUCUGAGAUUUUAGAGUACAAGAUAUGAGAAAAUUCAAGAUGCAGAAAGCAAGAACCUGGAUAAGAUCUCUCUGGAGAAGUCAUCAAACCUCCUUCAAAUGGCAGCCCUUACCUUGUUGGAGUAUUUCCAUUCCUUCUCCAG